rnacentral:rRNA from 1 species
GACGAACGCUGGCGGCGUGCCUAACACAUGCAAGUCAACUUGACUGAAGGAGCAAUCUGACAGUAGAGUGGCGCAAGGGUGCGUAACGCGUAAGUAACAUGCCCCAAGGUAAGGAAUAACGUCGAGAAAUCGGCGCUAAUACCUCAUAAUGCAGCGGAUCCGCAUGGAUAUGUUGUUAAAGGUUUACCGCCUUGGGAUAGGCUUGCGUCUGAUUAGCUAGUUGGUGUGGUAACGGCACACCAAGGCUACGAUCAGUAACUGGUCUGAGAGGAUGAUCAGUCACACUGGAACUGAGACACGGUCCAGACUCCUACGGGAGGCAGCAGUGAGGAAUAUUGGGCAAUGCUCGAAAGAGUGACCCAGCAACGCCGCGUGGAGGAUGAAGGUAUUCUAUAUCGUAAACUCCUGUGAGAGCAGACGAAAGACAGAUUAUUAAUCUGGAUGACUGUAUGCUCAGAGGAAGCCCCC